rfam:Lucilia cuprina strain LS Scaffold469, whole genome shotgun sequence.
GUGUAGUGGAAAAGGAGAGCAAGUUAGCACUCCCCUAGACAAGGAUGGAAUCACAUAAAGACCGGAAUAGGCACAGACAAGUUCCGGUCGCCAAUUUUUUUU